CCUAGGGCCAUGGCCGCGUUCUGCAGCAGUUCGAUGCGUCCAUACGGAAAAAGGCCUCCUCCCAGCUUUAUAUAUAAAGCAUUGAUCACCAACAGACCAGGCUGCCUCCAUGGCCAUCCCUCUCCUCUCCUAUAUGGAAGCAGUUCGAUGCGUCCAUCGAUGAGUCUGUCUGUCUCUUCUCAUUAGCAGAACACGACAGUUAGCUUCAGUAGCCUUCUGGCCCGGUCUGCUAGAAGCAAGCUGCGAGUGUGGUAUUUAUCUAAUUGAAUCCAUCGAUCUGGAGCACUGAUUGUUGUUAUUGUUCCCUAGUGUCAUGGGCUGGGGGUGUUAUUUUGGUUCUAGUUUAAUUUAUGGCCUCCCACAGGCUGCUGUAUCCCCACGAAGAUUGAUGUAUUUUUGGACAAGAACAACAAACAAUGGUGCAGGUGGCCGGCGAGCGGCGUGGUAUAGGCGGAAAGUGGUGGAGAAGCAAGAUGAUGGUGGCCACCGCCGACCCGACCUGGAGCUGGCCCUCUUUGAUGUCGUGUGCCUUGGGGUGGUCUUACUCUUGUCUCCAUGGAAAGCUGUAGCUCGACCUGGACUGGACGCCCGUGUGCUUGCAUAUAUAAUAUGCCAAUGAUUUGUGUGAUGA